rnacentral:lncRNA from 1 species
UGAUUUUAGUUCUCAUUAUUGAAGUUUGCGCUUCUGAUUGAGAGAUGUUGCUGUUUUUUCCAGAUCCAUCCUGGCAGAUUAAUACCCAGCAAGAGUCCUGCUGUCAGUGGGCAUUUGAAUGGUGUGUUUAAAGCCGCCUUUGAUGGCAAGGAUGCCAAAUCAUGCGCUCUGCGACAGCUGUUUGGUGCGUCUUUGUGAGCUGCGUGAUUGAGAGCUGCAGAGCUUUGGUAUCCUCUCUGACUGUGUUCGUUUGCCUUCAGGUGGGGUGACCCGUGACCGAGACCGGUGAGAAGGGGGAAGUUCCUGUGGCAGAGAAUUAAAGCCAAGCAGGGAGCUCAAGUAGGAGAACAGCGUACCAGCUCAGGCAAGAGAUGGUCGUGGCUCGGGACGCCGUGGUGGUGAUGAAGAUCUCGGAGGAAGUGAGCGUGGGGUCAGGGAGGAAGUCUGAAGAGGCAGGUGGAAGGCAGUGAGAUGACCCUUUCCCAAAUGGGGUCGAGAGCACGGCACACCCGCACAGGAGCUUCCUGUUCUGAGGGCC